rnacentral:rRNA from 1 species
GUGGGGAAUCUUGCGCAAUGGGCGAAAGCCUGACGCAGCCAUGCCGCGUGAAUGAUGAAGGUCUUAGGAUUGUAAAAUUCUUUCACCGGGGACGAUAAUGACGGUACCCGGAGAAGAAGCCCCGGCUAACUUCGUGCCAGCAGCCGCGGUAAUACGAAGGGGGCUAGCGUUGCUCGGAAUUACUGGGCGUAAAGGGCGCGUAGGCGGAUCGUUAAGUCAGGGGUGAAAUCCCAGAGCUCAACUCUGGAACUGCCCUUGAUACUGGCGAUCUUGAGUGUGAGAGAGGUAUGUGGAACUCCGAGUGUAGAGGUGAAAUUCGUAGAUAUUCGGAAGAACACCAGUGGCGAAGGCGACAUACUGGCUCAUUACUGACGCUGAGGCGCGAAAGCGUGGGGAGCAAACAGGAUUAGAAACCCUGGUAGUCC